rnacentral:rRNA from 1 species
GCCCUUCGCAAAUUACCCACUCUCAAUUCGAGGAGGUAGUGACAACAACUAACGAGACUGCUCCCUUUGGGAACAGUCAUCGAAAUGGGUACAAUUUAAACCCUUUAACGAGGAUCAAUGAGAGGGCAAGUCUGGUGCCAGCAGCCGCGGUAAUUCCAGCUCUCAAAGUGUAUGUCAUUAUUGCUGCGGUUAAAAAGCUCGUAGUUGGAUCUGAGCCUUUGGCGACAGUUCGUUUUCAUGCGAUACUGUGGCCGGGGUUAAUUUUGUCGGUUCGCCGGCAAGAGUUACUCUGAAUAAAUCAGAGUGCUCAAAACAAGCGUUUCGCUUGAAUGUUUUUGCAUGGAAUAAUGGAAAAGGACUUCGGUUCCUUACUGUUGGUUUCGGAAUUGGAUUAAUGAUUAAGAGGGACCAACGGGGGCAUGCGUACCGCUACGCGAGAGGUGAAAUUCAUGGACCGUAGCGUGACGACCUAAAGCGAAAGCAUUUGCCAAGAAUGUCUUCAUUAAUCAAGAACGAAAGUCAGAGGUUCGAAGGCGAUUAGAUACCGCCGUAGUUCUGACCGUAAACGAUCCAUCUACCGAUCCGGUGGUGGUAUUACCGCUCGCCNGGGAGCUUUCCGGAAACNAAAGACUUUCCGGUUCCNGGGGUAGUAUNGGUUGCAAAGCUGAAACUUAAAAGGAAUUGGCCGGAAAUC